rnacentral:lncRNA from 1 species
CAUCUCUUCAGGUAUAGCACAUUGACCAUUGAUAUGGUCACCACCACAAAGAUUGCAUAGCUGCUGUGUUUGGGAGACAUUGCGAAUCUCCUUCGGAAGUUCUGAGAAGAUCUUUGUCAAUGUAUCUAGCUUUUGGGUCGAAAGAUGAUUUUGGGCUAGCAUUGCAUCAUCUGUAGGUAAGUGCAAGACUCCUCUCUUUUGUGUUGGUGCGCCCCUUUCACUAUACAUU